AACAAACGCUGGCGGCGUGCCUAAUACAUGCAAGUCGAACGAGGUAGCAAUACCUAGUGGCGCACGGGUGAGUAACGCGUGGAUAAUCUGCCCUUCAGUGGGGAAUAACUCUCCGAAAGGAGAGCUAAUACCGCAUAAGACCACAGUGACUUUGGUCACAGAGGUUAAAGGAGCAAUUCGCUGAAGGAUGAGUCCGCGUCAGAUUAUGGUAGUUGGUGGGGUAACGGCCUACCAAGCCUUCGAUCUGUAGCUGGUCUGAGAGGAUGAUCAGCCACACUGGAACUGAGACACGGUCCAGACUCCUACGGGAGGCAGCAGUAGGGAAUAUUGGUCAAUGGGCGAAAGCCUGAAUCAGCAACGCCGCGUGAGCGACGAAGGCCUUAGGGUUGUAAAGCUCUGUUGCAAGGGAAGAAAAAAAUGACGGUACUUUGCGAGAAAGAACCGGCCAACUUCGUG
rnacentral:rRNA from 1 species